GAUGAACGCUGGCGGCGUGCCUAAUACAUGCAAGUCGAGCGAACAGACGAGGAGCUUGCUCCUCUGACGUUAGCGGCGGACGGGUGAGUAACACGUGGAUAACCUACCUAUAAGACUGGGAUAACUUCGGGAAACCGGAGCUAAUACCGGAUAAUAUAUUGAACCGCAUGGUUCAAUAGUGAAAGACGGUUUUGCUGUCACUUAUAGAUGGAUCCGCGCCGCAUUAGCUAGUUGGUAAGGUAACGGCUUACCAAGGCAACGAUGCGUAGCCGACCUGAGAGGAUGAUCGGCCACACUGGAACUGAGACACGGUCCAGACUCCUACGGGAGGCAGCAGUAGGGAAUCUUCCGCAAUGGGCGAAAGCCUGACGGAGCAACGCCGCGUGAGUGAUGAAGGUCUUCGGAUCGUAAAACUCUGUUAUUAGGGAAGAACAGAUGUGUAAGUAACUAUGCACGUCUUGACGGUACCUAAUCAGAAAGCCACGGCUAACUACGUG
rnacentral:rRNA from 1 species